rnacentral:rRNA from 1 species
AGCAGCCGCGGUAAUUCCAGCUCCAAUAGCGUAUAUUAAAGUUGUUGCAGUUAAAAAGCUCGUAGUUGAAUUUCGGGGUCAGUAGUUUGGUCGUGCCAACGGUAUGUACUGGGCUCACUGAUUCCUCCUUCCUGAUGAACUGUAAUGCCAUUAAUUUGGUGUUGCAGGGAAACUGGACUGUUACUUUGAAAAAAUUAGAGUGUUUAAAGCAAGCUAACGCUUGAAUACAUUAGCAUGGAAUAAUGAAAUAGGACGUUCGAUCCUAUUUUGUUGGUUUCUAGGAUUGACGUAAUGAUUAAUAGGGAUAGUUGGGGGCAUUAGUAUUCAAUUGUCAGGGGUGAAAUUCUUGGAUUUAUUGAAGACUAACUACUGCGAAAGCAUUUGCCAAGGAUGUUUUCAUUAAUUCAAGAACGAAAGUUAGGGGAUCGAAGACGAUCAGAUACCGUCGUAGUCUUAACCAUAAACCUAUGCCGACUAGGGAUCGGAUGAUGUUAAUUUUUAAUGACUCAUUCGGCGCCUU